AUAAUACUCUUAUUUUUUGUUGAUAUUUGGAUUUUGGAAAUAUGAUUUUUUUUUUAAAUAUAUUCAUUCCACAAGUCACUUUUAAAAUUUUGUAGAAUAAUUAUCAUAAUAUUAUAUUUUUAAAAUUUCUAUACACUUAAUACAUUUACCGAAAGUAAAAUAAAGGCUUUCGCAGUCACCCAAACAUAUGCUUUUUUAAAGCAUUUAAGAUAUUGCAAAUAAAAAUAAUAAUGGUUCUUAGCAUUUUCUGAAAUGAUUUUAACUGAAUAUUCAUUUGCAUUUAUCAUAAAUUGACAUUAUUUUUUAAGGUAAGAGAAUUGAAUAAAUUGACGACGAAUAUACAUAAGACGUUACAAAGGGUAUCAUAAAAAAAUAAAACAGAUUUUAACAUUCUUCGAUCAAAAUUAAUAUCUAUCUGUUUGUCUGUAAGUUGCCAAUGUAACUUUCAGAUAGCAUUAGCCAUUUUUAAAUAUUGUCGAACAAGGAAUAUCUAACUGUUAUUAUUUUGUGUUAACAAUAGCUUUUCACAAAAUAUUUUUAAUCAAGAAUAUUACACACAUAAAUUAAAAUAUACAUUAUUGAUAAAUGUGUGUUGCCAAAACGUUAUUUUUUUCCUGUAAUUCAUGUGAAUUUUUAAUUCAUAUAUUUUGAUAUUUGUUUCGACGUCUACUCAUUAUUUUAAGUAACUAUUCAUAAAAAUAGUAUUCUUAUUCCUAUUUUAUUUUAUAAUAUUUACAGAACAUCAAGAAUCCGUGCAACGAGCCAUAGUCAUUUUAUAAUAAGAGUUUAGGUACAUAUAAUCAUAUAAAAUAUUAUAUUACUUUGUAUUAAAAGAUAAGAUUUAUUUUAUUACCUAGAUAUAUAUUGUGGCUAAUAAUUGUACACAAUUUCUAGAAUAAACCAAAAUGACAGAUCUUUAUGUAUCGCUAUCCCUUUCAUUAUGCUCACUGCCGAAAAGGAUAGCACUAGAUUUAGGUCUGUCAAUUUCGUUAAGUAUAGCGAUUAUGUACACAGAUUUUUUAGCCACGUUAUUUAUUUUAAAUUAAUACCUAUAUUUCAGAGAAAUACUAUGUGCAUUUCAACGAGAAAUGUUUUUUGAUAAAUUGAAAGCAUAAUUGAUAAGCCCAAACCAUGUAUUAAAUGCUACUAGAUUCAUUAAAAAUGUUGUAAACAAAAUAUGAAAUAAAAUGCUUUUUUGUGUUUUUAAAAUAAGAUCUUUGUAUGUUAUCUUAAUAAAACUAAUCUACUAUUAGCUGAUGUAAACAAUUUAUCAAUCAAACAAAAAACACAAAAUAUUUUUUUACAUUCAUAGGUUUUUUUUUAAAGAAUACUAGCCAUUUUUAAUCAUGACUAACAUUCCUCUUUCCCCUCCAACUAAGCGUAAAGCUUGUGCUAGGAGUGGGUACGACAAUAGUGCAACGGGCGGGGUUCGAACCGUCGACCUUUCGGUUUUCAGUCCACUCCUUUACCGGUUGAGCUAUU